CUCUGCAUCUGAAAGUGAUCAUGGGCUCCCUGAGCCCCAUUAAUUGAUAGUGCAGGGAUAGGAAUUGCUUAAAGUAGUUUUGCCCAUGUUUGGAGGGUGCAGCUGCUCCUCCCAAACCCUGGAGCUUUCACACA